rnacentral:rRNA from 1 species
UACGUAGGGGGCAAGCGUUGUUCGGAAUUACUGGGCGUAAAGCGCGCGCAGGCGGUCUUCCAAGUCAGUGGUGAAAGCCCGGAGCUCAACUCCGGAAUUGCCAUUGAAACUGUUGGACUUGAGGAUGAGAGAGGUGAGUGGAAUUCCCAGUGUAGAGGUGAAAUUCGUAGAUAUUGGGAAGAACACCGGUGGCGAAGGCAGCCUCCUGGGCCCAUACUGACGCUCAGGCACGAAAGCGUGGGGAGCAAACAGG